rnacentral:rRNA from 1 species
CCUACGGGAGGCAGCAGUGGGGAAUAUUUCACAAUGGGGGAAACCCUGAUGCAGCGACGCCGCGUGAGUGAAGAAGUAUUUCGGUACGUAAAGCUCUAUCAGCAGGGAAGAAAAUGACGGUACCUGACUAAGAAGCCCCGGCUAACUACGUGCCAGCAGCCGCGGUAAUACGUAGGGGGCAAGCGUUAUCCGGAUUUACUGGGUGUAAAGGGAGCGUAGACGGCAGAGAAAGUCUGGAGUGAAAUCCCAUGGCUUAACCAUGGAACUGCUUUGGAAACUGUGCAGCUGGAGUGCAGGAGAGGUAAGCGGAAUUCCUGGUGUAGCGGUGAAAUCCGUAGAUAUCAAGAGGAAUACUCAUUGCGAAGGCGACCUACUGGAACAUUACUGACGCUCAUGCACGAAAGCGUGGGGAGCAAACAGGAUUAGAUACCCGAGUAGUC